UUUCUAACACGGGUUAAAUCUUAAUUUUUCAUAAGAAAUGUAUAAAACAACUAAAAAUGUGCGGAAUUCAAUAAAAUGGUAGACCAACACAACCCAAACAUCUGAUAUCACGAAUCUAGAGCCUCUAAAUAUACAACCGACUAUCUAAUACAUCAUAAGUCUAAAAUGCAGAAAGGAACAAGAUAGGAAGGAGGAAAGUAGGGUUGCGGACGCCAUGCAGCUAUCUUCUUGCAGUCUCCAGCAAACUCUAAUAAUGCUGAGGACCCUCACUCUGCCGCUCGGGCACCUGGAUCUGCACAUAAGGUGCAGGGAGUAAUGUGAGUACGCCAACUCAAUAAGUAACUAAAGUAAAUAAGGUCUGAAAGCAGUGACAAGCAAUUAAAAUCAUAUAAAGGAGUAACAACAGAAUAACAGAUCAAAACUCCACAGCUUAAAAACCAAUAUCGUCAUAAAAUCUUCAGUUUCAAUUGGAAUACUUGAAACCAUUUACUUAGCAAUUUUUCAACAGAGGCUUAUUUUAAAAGAAGAGUGAAAUCAGUGAAAAUAUCAUAAAUGGGCCCUUCGGGCAAGGUAUCACUCAUAACAUGGCCUCUCAGGCAGCCUCUCAGUCACUCGUGACUCAGCUUUAGUCACUCAAUACUAGCUCUCAGCACUCAGGCUCAAUAAUAUCUCAUAAUAGUAAUAAUCAUAGUAACCGCUGUGGCGUGCAGCCCGAUCCAUAGUUUAUAGUCGACUACGCUCACUGGGGGUGUACAGACUCCGGAGGGCCCAAACAUGGCAUACAGCCCAUAAUACAGUGUAAAUGUCUAAAAUACGAAAUAUCAUAAGAUUUCAAAUCAAAUAGGCGGAUUAAUAGUCGCUACCAGACGGACCAAGUCGCAAUUCCUACCGGUGCACGCCCACACGCUCGUCACCUAGCAUGUGCGUAACCUCAUUUAUCAAAACAAUUCGAAAUACCGGGGUUUGUACCCUCAAUUCCAGAUUUACAAUGGUUACUUACCUCAAACCGGGUGAAUUACUACUCCGCGACGCCUUUGCCUCUCGCCUCGGCCUCAACUCGCACCGAAUCUACCCAAAACUAGAAUCAUAACAUUAGGAUAUGCUAAAGAUCGAAACCCAAGCAAAAAUAAUCAAAUUAUACCAAAAAUCCCGAAAUUGGCCAAACCCGACCCCGGGCCCACAUUUCAAAACUCAAUAAACAUCACAUCAAUGGAAUCCUUAUCCUCCCACGAGUUCGUACAUACCAAGAUUACCAAAAUCCAACCACAAAUGACCCCUCAAAUCCCUAGAUUAAAGUCUCAAGUUUCCAAGCCCUAACUCCCCAAUUUAGGCUCCAAAUUCCCCAAAUUUCAGGUUUAAUUAGGUAGAAAUCACAAUAGGAUCGAGUAUUAAGUCCAAAAUUCUUGCCUCCAACAAGUUCUCCUUGAUUCCCUCUUCAAUCUCUCUCAAAAAGCUUCAAAACCGAGUCAAAAAUGGUGAACUUAGGCCAAAACUAGCGAAAAAGGCCUUUUAAACACUCUGCCCAACGACCAGAAGUCCUUCUUUACGAACGCGGUCAAAGCCUCGCGUUCGUGAAGCACAAAAAUUCCAUUGACCAAAAAUCUCCUACGCGAAUGCGACCACAUUAUCGCGAACGCGAUGCCUCAGCCUCACCAACCAUCGCGAACGCAGUCAGGCAUCUCGUGAACGCGAUGCUUCCCAUUCCGACCCUUCGCGAACGCGAAGGCCAAAUCUGAUGCCUACCUUCCUGACCCUUCGCGAAUGUGAGGGUCCACUCGCGAACGCGAAGAACAAAAUGCCUGCAAUAGCUGAAACCAAAAUCUGCAACUUUCCUUUAACUUAAAAUGGUCCGUUCAACCAUCCGAAACUCACCCGAGGCCUUCGGGACCCCAACCAAACAUGCCAACAUAUCCCAUAACCUCAUUCAAACUUGUUCCAACCUUUGGAACGCCCAAAACAACAUCAAAACACCAAAAUUACAUCAGAUUCAAGCCUAAGAAUUCCAAAAACUUCUAAAUUCCGCUUUUGAUCAAAAACCCUACCAAACCACGUCCGGAUGACCUAAAAUUUUGCACACACAUCCCAAAUGACACAACGAAACUACUGGAACUCUCAGAAUUCCAUUCCAACCCCUAUAUCAAAAUCUCACCUAUCAACCGGAAAACGCCAAAAAUCCAAUUUCGCCAAUUCAAGCCUAAAUUUACUCCGGACCUCCAAAACACAUUCCGAUCACGCUCCUAAGUCCCAAAUCACCUCCCGAAGCUAUCCUAACCAUCGAAACUCACAUCCAAGCCCUCUAACACAUAAGUCAACAUCCGGUUGACCUUUCCAACUUAAGCUUCCUCAAAAGAGACUAAGUGUCUCAAACCUUGCCAAAGCCUCUCCGAACCCGAAUCGAUCAACUCGAUGACAUGAAAUGCAACUGAACAAAGCAAUAAGAAGUAGAAAUAGGGAAAACAGAGUGGUAACUCAUGAGACGACUGGUCGAGUCGUCAUAGGUUUCGAGAAGAACAUCACAGAGAUGAAGAAGUAGGCUUAGAAACCCAUAGAUCUAAGGUGACAUAGGAAGCUCUUACCCGAAAUCGAACCGAAACAGCCUGGAAUAGGCGAGAAAGGGCCAUAAGUGUAAGUGGACUGACCCUAGUCCCUCGAGGACCUUAGAGAUGGAAAUACCAACAUAUGAGAGGCCAUUAGAGGUCUUAUGGUAGUGGGGAAACACUAUGAACGACGGCAGAUGAACGAUGAUGAGGGUGAGUUAGGGUUAGGACUUGAGAUCAUUUGAGAGAAGAGGGUAUCAGAUUUCGGCGUGAGAGACGUGAGGAAAUGAAGGGUUUUGGGGAGGUCAUUAGGUUUAAUUUAGGAAAGGGGAAAUUUGGACCGUUGAUC
rnacentral:lncRNA from 1 species